AGUGAACGCUGGCGGUAGGCCUAACACAUGCAAGUCGAACGGCAGCACAGUAAGAGCUUGCUCUUACGGGUGGCGAGUGGCGGACGGGUGAGGAAUACAUCGGCAUCUACUUUUUCGUGGGGGAUAACGUAGGGAAACUUACGCUACUACCGCAUACGACCUACGGGUGAAAGCAGGGGAUCUUCGGACCUUGCGCGAUUGAAUGAGACGAGGUCGGAUUAGCUAGUUGGCGGGGUAAAGGCCCACCAAGGCGACGAUCCGUAGCUGGUCUGAGAGGAUGAUCAGCCACACUGGAACUGAGACACGGUCCAGACUCCUACGGGAGGCAGCAGUGGGGAAUAUUGGACAAUGGGCGCAAGCCUGAUCCAGCCAUACCGCGUGGGUGAAGAAGGCCUUCGGGUUGUAAAGCCCUUUUGUUGGGAAAGAAAAGCAGCAGGUUAAUACCCCGCUGUUCUGACGGUACCCAAAGAAUAAGCACCGGCUAACUUCGUG
rnacentral:rRNA from 1 species